rnacentral:sRNA from 1 species
UGUGGACAUCAGAGGAUGACUCUUGGGAGUCCAUUUUCUCCUUCUACAGUGUGGUUGUCAGGGAUAAAACUCAGGUUAUCCAGCUUGGCAGCCUUUUCCCUCUGAGCCAUCCUCCUGGGCCAUGGUUUUCUUUUUCAAAUCGCAGAGCUCAGGGGAUGGAGCAGAGCCAGUUAGAGUGUCUUAAAGCCAGGCUCUACUGUCACGAGUGAAGCCUGUUCUGUUACUGAGAAAUCAGGAAACAGAUAAUGACAAACGGCAGAUCUUUAAGUCUUCUGAUUGCAUGAUUAAGUCUUUUCAAGUUUGUGUGUGAACAGGAUCGGCUUCAUAUCCUGGGAAUUUCGACAUCCAGCAAAGGAGAUCCUACUGGAAAUGGUUGGGGGAGUGGUUUCAUCAUUUCCAACUUCUGACAGAAGUAAAAGAAUGCUGUAUUGCCACCAGCAACAACACUGGAUUUUUAAAGAAUAUGCAGAUGAUAAAAUCUUUUUUCUUUUACUUUUUGUUUGUGUAUCUCUGGUGUUGGAGCCCAAGGCUUUGUGAAUGCUGGCUGAACUCUCUAUCCCUGAGCUACAGUCUCAGCCCCACGAAAAUGAAUGUUUUUGUAAAAGUUUAUUUCUCAGAAAUUCUGUGAAGUAAACCAUCUUGUUCUUCUAGCCAAGGCAUCUGGGGCACAGAGGCCCACUGUUCCUCCUAUCCCAUUUGCUUCGACCGCCUCUCCAUACUGUUCCUCAAGCUGAACCUCGUGCCAUCUUCUCCAGAAGGUUAUGUUUUUUUGAGUCUCCAAAAUCUCAUCCUGAUGUGAUAUGCCUUCCUCCUUGGACCCAUGGGCACCUUUUGUGAAGUCUUAUAGAAAUUUAUUAUUAUUCUGAAAUACGCUGUAUAUGGACUAGGUGUUCUCUGGUGCAGAGGAAAUACUCUGCCAAUCAAAUGAAAACCUGGGGGUCCCAUUGACUUUAGGCACAAAGAUUCUCCAGAGACAACGCAUAGAGAAUCCUUGCGGAGCAGCGGGUCUGGAUCAUGAAGACAGGGUGGACAUGGAGCACGCACUCAGAUGUGAUGGAACAGCCUUUCUAGUCUGAAGUCUAUGAAGGGGAAAAUGAGACUGUGAUCUCUGAAUGAACAAGUCUGCUCAGCACAGGCCUGCAAAUCACCAGGCCCUGCAAGUGCUUGGGAAGGUCGCAAACAAAGUGGGGAGCCACCCCUCAAAUGCACACGCUUGGUGCCAGAGCUGGUGGGCUUUAAGCAAGGCACACACAGAGAGAAGAAAACAGACAGAGGAACUCACAUCACUUUUGCUUCCAGAUGAGUCACCUUCCUUCUGAUCCAAGCAACACUGUCCUGUUCCUUUCUGCAGACAACCAUCUGACUCCUGAGGACAUGAAGUGCUUCAUGUGAACAAUACUUUUUAUAUGCAAAUAAGGACGUGCCCUGGAGGUUUGGAUAAUCUCUAUGAGACCUCAGAACCUGAAGUCUUCUACUUAACCAGGGACAGCACAAGGCUGUUCUUGCUAUGUUUGUUUAUUUUUAUAAGGGCAACCACAAUGAUUUGGAACAUUGUUCAUUAUAAUUCACAUGGAACCUUUAUGAAAGGGAAACAGUUUAAGUGCAAAAGGGAUGUGCAGCUGGUUGCUUGGGUUCUCGGGAGAAACAUUCACCAAAGCAAAGCAUGGCCCGAGUCCUGAUGUUUACAGACACCUCAGCGGCACUGCAUAGAUGCUCAACUGGCGGCAAGUGUCUGGACAGCUGGCUAGUCCACAUGACUUCCCUUUGUGCUUCUAGACCACAUCAAAGUUGGUGUAAUGCUCACCUGGUCUUCAGCAAGUCCUGGCAACUCCAGUGAGUCCCCGCCCUCUGCCCCGUCCCUUUGUGAUGACUUUGUCUGUCUUGGUUGUGAUGGUCUUACAAACCCCAUUCUUGUGUCCCCAGCUUUGACCACCUGUUCUUCUCAUUCCUACUUCAUAUGAUGUGUCUCCAAUCACCCACCCUUGUGUACUCACCAUGCA